rnacentral:rRNA from 1 species
UACGGAGGGGGCUAGCGUUGUUCGGAAGUACUGGGCGUAAAGCGCACGUAGGCGGCUUUGUAAGUUAGAGGUGAAAGCCCGGGGCUCAACUCCGGAAUUGCCUUUAAGACUGCAUCGCUAGAAUUGUGGAGAGGUAAGUGGAAUUCCGAGUGUAGAGGUGAAAUUCGUAGAUAUUCGGAAGAACACCAGUGGCGAAGGCGACUUACUGGACACAUAUUGACGCUGAGGUGCGAAAGCGUGGGGAGCAAACAGG